CCUACGGGAGGCAGCAGUGGGGAAUAUUGGGCAAUGGACGCAAGUCUGACGCAGCAACGCCGCGUGAGGGAAGAAGGAUUUCGGGUUGUAAACUUCUUUUAGGAGGGAAGAUCAGAACGCGGUACCCCUUGAAUAAGCCACGGCUAACUACGUGCCAGCAGCCGCGGUAAUACGUAGGUGGCAAGCUUUGUCCGGAUUUACUGGGUGUAAAGGGCGUGCAGCCGGGAAGACAAGUCAGAUGUGAAAUCCCGGGGCUCAACCGCGGAACUGCAUUGGAAACUGUUUGUCUUGAGUAUCGGAGAGGUAAUCGGAAUUCCUAGUGUAGCGGUGAAAUGCGGAGAUAUUAGGAAGAACACCAGUGGCGAAGGCGGAUUACUGGACGACAACUGACGGUGAGGCGCGAAAGCGUGGGGAGCAAACAGGAUUAGAUACCCGGGUAGUC
rnacentral:rRNA from 1 species